rnacentral:rRNA from 1 species
GACGAACGCUGGCGGCGUGCUUAACACAUGCAAGUCGUACGGUAAGGCCCUUUCGGGGGUACACGAGUGGCGAACGGGUGAGUAACACGUGAGUAACCUGCCCACAACUUUGGGAUAACGCUAGGAAACUGGUGCUAAUACUGGAUAUGUGCUCCUGCUGCAUGGUGGGGGUUGGAAAGCUCCGGCGGUUGUGGAUGGACUCGCGGCCUAUCAGCUUGUUGGUGGGGUAGUGGCCUACCAAGGCGGCGACGGGUAGCCGGCCUGAGAGGGUGACCGGCCACAUCGGGACUGAGAUACGGCCCAGACUCCUACGGGAGGCAGCAGUGGGGAAUAUUGCACAAGGGGCGCAAGCCUGAUGCAGCAACGCCGCGUGCGGGAUGACGGCCUUCGGGUUGUAAACCGCUUUCAGCAGGGACGAAGCUUUUUGUGACGGUACCUGCAGAAGAAGCACCGGCUAACUACGUG